CGUUCAAAUGGCAUCACCCUUGGGACUACCCAACGACUAUGAAUUUGAAACCAGAGUACAUUAACUCCAACAAGAAUAAGUUCUAACUGAAACCCUUGGGUGUACAUGACUUCCCAACGACAACCAAUUCUCUUUCAAGUGCAGCAGCAGCAUCCGGCGCCGCCCCAAGAAGUUCAUUGGUCCUCCCCCUUCCCCUUUUCCCUCCCCGCCGCGGCCGAUUAGAUCUCCUCCGCCCUCCAACAAUGUCAAUAUCAACAAUACCAAUACCAACAACAAUAAUAACAGUCUGAGCGCGACUGUUGCUGGCAACGGUGGCAUGAAGGGGAAGAAGAAGGCCGGGGGAGCCAAGCUUUGUAUGCGGUUUCACCGUUUCGGGGAUCAGAGCUCGUCGAGUGUGACAAGAAUGCUAUUAUUCGACGUGCGGCCAUUCCCGCCCAGGACUUGAGGAUUCUCGGCCCUGUCUUCUCCCAUUCCUACAGCAUCCUUGCUAGGGAGAAGGCCAUGGUGGUUAAUUUAGAGUUUAUAAAGGCUAUAGUUACAGCGGAAGAGGUUUUGUUGCUUGAUUCUCUUCAGCAAGAGGUUCUUCCAUUUGCGGAUCAGCAAAGGUAACAACUUCCUCAGAAAAGGCAAUCCAGGAUAGAUGAAGCAAGUCCACUUGAUGAACAAGAUAGUGGAAUGAAUGUUUCAACCAGAAGGCAAUGGUUACCAGUUUCUGAAGCCGUUAAAGGUGUGCAGUGUGAUCUCCCAUUUGAGUUUCAAGUUCUGGAGAUUGCACUAGAAGUUGUCUGUACAUACUUGAAUUCAAGUGUGGCAGACCUUGAGAGAGAAUCCUACCCUGUUUUAGAUGAAUUGGCCAGAAAUGUGGCAGCGCUUAAUCUAUCUCGAGAGUAGAGAUUUGUGUCAACUCUCGUGUUCUAAACUAUCUGAUUCGUAUAAUGCAAAUGUUACUUUGAUCUUCUCUGCGAUUGAGCGUUAU